UACGUAGGGGGCAAGCGUUGUCCGGAUUUAUUGGGCGUAAAGAGCGUGUAGGCGGCCAUACAGGUCAGCUGUGAAAACUCGAGGCUCAACCUCGAGACGUCGGUUGAAACCGUAUGGCUAGAGUCCGGAAGAGGAGAGUGGAAUUCCCGGUGUAGCGGUGAAAUGCGCAGAUAUCGGGAAGAACACCUAUGGCGAAGGCAGCUCUCUGGGACGGUACUGACGCUGAGACGCGAAAAGCGUGGGGGAGCGAACAGG
rnacentral:rRNA from 1 species